GUUUGAAGUGUUGUAGUUGGGGUAUAUGACUGUUUGAGACCCCUAGGAACUUGUAUGCAUGAUUUGGUUGAGAUAUAUGCUUGAUUUGAAGUUUUGGGAGGCAAGGGGUUCAUGUGAACCAAGUUUCUGCCCUUCUGGCAGAAACCAGGUUCGGCCGCCGAAGGGAGUUUCGGCCGCCGAACCCCCUUUGUGGAGGCAGCAUUCGGCUGCCGAAGUUGCCCCCGAAAAGAGACUUUCGUCUUUGUCUGGGACUUUCGGCCGCCGAAGGUGCCGCCGAAAGUGCCUGACUUUCGGAUCUGUCCAGGACUUUCGGCCGCCGAAGGUGCCGCCGAAAGUGCCCUGUUCAGCCAUUUCAUGCAUAUCUCUAUGUGAUAUUUUCAGGAUGUUUUAGGGGGUUUUUGGGGAGU
rnacentral:lncRNA from 1 species